GUGCCAAAUCUGUCAUGCACACGUAUUUAUAGAGCGCACAGCGGAGAGCCCUCGGCUGCUGCUGCUGUUGGUGCGAGCUGCUGGCUCAGUGCCGGAGCAGGGGGGGUACCGCGCUCCGGAGGCUGCCGCAGAGCUGCUGACACCAGGAGCAUCUCCCGAAAUGGAUGGACUUUGCCUCUUGCCUCAUAUAUCUGUUUAAUGACCUCUCCUCGCGGCCACUUGACGUGUGAUUUAUGGGAUAUAAAUGUUACCUCUUCCACCUUGCGGGGUGGGAGCACCUCGCCCCGCUGCUUUCCUCCGGCCCUUCCUUCCGAAAACAAAGCAACAAACCUUUAAAAGGGUGCUUUUUCCUCUCUGAAAGCAAACUGCUGCUGACGCAGCGUUCAAGGCUGAUGGAAAAGGAAAGCAGCAGCAUCCCAGCUGAUUUCCUG
rnacentral:lncRNA from 1 species